AAGGAGGGGCUUUUCUGAAGGGCAGGUAGCUGGCGUCUGGGCUGACAAAGUUAAGAAAAUAAACAACAAAACACCUGGGAGGAGACACGUGGAGGGCUUAGAGAGGCUGAGGGGGAUCAGGAUAGCCUCGUGCAGGUCUCCUUGCGUGCAUUUGGGAAAUGGUUGUUUUCCUACAUCAUACAGUUCACAUAUGUCAGGGAUCUGAAUUACGUAAAAGUAUUCAAUUUAUUUCCAUGAAGUAUAAGCUUUGGCACCAAUGAUCAAAAUUCAGGAAAUGAAGAUUGAGAAAGCAAAUGAAAAGGAGAAUAAAGCUAUUAAGUGAUUAAAAUGAAGAUUUGUAUUUUGUAUACAUUGAUGACUACUUUCAUGUAUGUUGUGUUUAAAAUACACUUUGUUUUUAAAGAUGGAUAAUGAAGGUUCUUGUAGUUUUGCAAUCCUUACCAGGACACUCUUUACAGUUGUUACUUUUAAGUG